GACGAACGCUGGCGGCGUGCUUAACACAUGCAAGUCGAACGCUGAAGCCCUUUCGGGGGUGGAUGAGUGGCGAACGGGUGAGUAACACGUGGGUAAUCUGCCCUGUACUUCGGGAUAAGCCUUGGAAACGGGGUCUAAUACCGGAUAGGACCUGUCCUCGCAUGGGGGUGGGUGGAAAGUUCCGGCGGUAUGGGAUGAGCCCGCGGCCUAUCAGCUUGUUGGUGGGGUAGUGGCCUACCAAGGCGACGACGGGUAGCCGGCCUGAGAGGGUGGCCGGUCACACUGGGACUGAGACACGGCCCAGACUCCUACGGGAGGCAGCAGUGGGGAAUCUUGCGCAAUGGGCGAAAGCCUGACGCAACAACGCCGCGUGGGGGAUGACGGCCUUCGGGUUGUAAACCUCUUUCGACAUCGACGAAGGGGCCCUGUUGUGGGGUUUUGACGGUAGGUGUAGAAGAAGCACCGGCUAACUACGUGCCAGCCGCCGCAGUAA
rnacentral:rRNA from 1 species